CAUAGCAUUAAACAACAAAUACCAAAAAGACAGCCAACCUCCUAAUAAAACAUUGAGCCAAACUAUAACUAUAGCCGAACUAAUGCUAAAACUAGUAACAAGAAACCCUUCUCUUGGCACACCUGUAACCCAGAAAUAGAAAAACUACUGGACUUUAACAGACCAAAAUAGGUAUAACACAAUCUGUACCGCCCACUGUUAAACCAACACCGGGGUGCCACCAAGACAGAUUAAAAGUUAUUUAAGGAACUCAGCAAAACUUGUCCCAACUGUUUACCAAAAACAUAGCCUUUAGCUAAUAUAAGUAUUAAAGGUCCCGCCUGCCCAGUGAGAUACCCACUUAAACGGCCGCGGUAUUCUAACCGUGCAAAGGUAGCGUAAUCACUUGUCUUCUAAAUAAAGACCAGUAUGAACGGCUAAAUGAGGACAAACCUGUCUCUUAUAACCAAUCAGUGAAACUGAUCUUCCAAUACAAAAGUUGGAAUAUACACAUAAGACGAGAAGACCCCGUGGAGCUUAAAACUAACCACUAACCCACACCUAAACCUAGUACCCUGUUUUAAGUUGGGGCGACUUCGGAAUAAAACAAAACUUCCGAGCACAGAACCACCACUUCUAACCAAGACCCACAAGUCUAAGUAACACCCGACCCGGCCCAUGCCGAUCAGCGAACCAAGUUACCCCGGGGAUAACAGCGCUAUCUUCUUCAAGAGUCCCUAUCAACAAGAAGGUUUACGACCUCGAUGUUGGAUCAGGACACCCAAAUGGUGCAGCCGCUAUUAAAGGUUCGUUUGUUCAACGAUUAACAGU
rnacentral:rRNA from 1 species